UACUGAGAGCAUCACCUAAGUGCACAGUUGUCAUGACAAAGAGGAAGAUGAACUGGAGGAUUUGGGAGGUUUGGGGCACUUGAUUGAUGCCAUACUGUAGAGGACAUCCAUAGCACCAGAUACAGGUUAACUCUUCUUUCAUGUUGCUUUAGAAAGAGGUCAGAAACUGGGGAUUAAAAAAUGAGAAAGAUAGAAUGCAAGAACAUUUGAAAACAUUUCAUUGCAAAUUGCAAAUUGCGAGGAAUGAGUCAAAAUGAUAGUUUCUGAUUUAUGUGUGGGGAAGGCAAUGUAGUAGCUUCUCCAUUCAAAAGAUCCCUGAGCAAAUAAAUGAGCAAAUUCCAUUACUUGAUAACUGUUCCUUCCCAUGGGUGGGGGAUUUGUGGAAGGUACAUAGAUUUUAAUUUUUGUAAUCAUAGAGAUGUAUUUCUAUAGCUGGAUGGAGAACAGGGGAGAAGAGAAUAGUAUGUUCUAAGUCCUGACUUUCCUGAGCAAAAGGGGUAAGUUUUCACAGGAUAAAAUUAGAAUAAAGACAAUAGAGUUCUUGUAGAGUUCUUGGGCCCUAAUACUUUCUAACAGUGAGACUCUGGGCUAAUUCUUUUUACCUUAGUUUCCUCAUCUGUAAAAUGGGGAAGAUAAUAUUUGCAGUUCUACACUUCAUAGGUAAUUAUCAUGAAUACCACUCAACAUCAGCGUUAUAUCUCUCAGAAGACAUGUUAGCUCCCAUCAGUGUAUUUUAAGCACCUAUUUGAAAUCAACAACAAGCCUAUCCUUAUACAAAAGCACCUAGCACUGUACCCUGGAAAUGAGAAAUACUAAUAAGUGCUUGGCUGAGUGAACUGGCUGAUUCUUACCAACAUUCCCCCAAGCUACUUUAUCUGUAGCUUGUCCAACUAAUUUUCCUGUCCUCAAGAUGAGGAAACUGAAGCCAACAGGGUUAAGUGACUUGCAUAGGGUCACACAGUAAGUGUCUAAGGUUGGAUUUGAAUUCAUGAAGAUGAUAUCCAAGGCAUUAAAAAAACAUUCUGAGAAGGGGUGUAUAGACAUCAUCAGACUGCUAAUGGGUUUCAAGAUACUCAAAAAGGGUAAGAACCCUUCUUUUAUACUUAUCACAGUGGUAUACAAAUGUUAAUAAGGAAUGAUCUCUGGAUGCAUGGGGGUUCAUGAUCUAAGAUUGGAGCUAAGAUACAUUUAGAAAGUGGAAUGUAUAUAAUAGGAACAUAGAGACCAGGACAGAUAUUUUUUUUUGGAAUUUUUAAAUGUAUAUUUUAUUUAGAAAAUGUAUUUAACAUUUUCUAAAAUUAUAAGAUCCAAGUUUUCUCCUUCCCUCCCUGCUCCAAGGAGAUGGUAAACAAUUUGAAUUGGGUUAAAUAUAUAUUAUCAUGCAAAACUUACUUGUAAGAGAAUAUUCAUAUAAAAUCAAAACACCAAAUUAAAAACACAAAUAAACUAAAG
rnacentral:lncRNA from 1 species